GGGACCUUGUCGUGGACCUGGACGCGUGCGGCCGGCCCGCGCUCGCGCUCGCACGGGUCGCAGAUGUACUGCACUUCUCAGGAUGAAAAUGGCACAGGAGAAGCUUCCAUAAACUGCUCCCAUUUCCUGCUCAUUUCUUCAAGAGGCAGCAUACAGUAGUCAGGACAUUGCCCAACACUCAACAAUUCACCAAAAGCAUCUUCCUUUUCCAGUGACAUGAGGGGGUCAUAGAACAGUGGAGUUGACAGAACUUCUGAUGGGGUCCUGGGUCCAGCUAGCACCC